CCAUGAAAAAUUUACUGAGGCAUCAAUGGCACUGUGAACAGGGGAAUUUGGGGCACCUCUGUAUACGCUCUUCCAACAUCUUAUUUCUCUUUGGAGAUCCAUGUGAAUCUGAAACAUUGAAUUCACCUCCAGAUUCAUGGGAUGAUGUACAUGAUGAAGCUAAGAUAAUCAAUGCAGUCAAUUCCUGGCCUUAAGAGACUGGGCGUGUUGCUGGAAAUGUUGACAACCAUCUUUUGACCACAAAGAGAGAUGGAUUUUCGAUAAAGUUGACACUGUAAAAAGUAGAAUGGACAGACUGAAAGAAAUCGUUUCUUUGCAUGAGAAGGUUGUGUGCAGAACAUAGCCCUGCAUUCAUUGUCAGGAUGGACAUGCUGGCCAUGGGAAACCAGCGCAUAC